GACGAACGCUGGCGGCGUGCUUAACACAUGCAAGUCGAACGAUGAAGCCUAGCUUGCUAGGUGGAUUAGUGGCGAACGGGUGAGUAAUACGUGAGUAACCUACCUUUAACUCUGGGAUAAGCCUGGGAAACUGGGUCUAAUACCGGAUACGACCAAUCUCCGCAUGGGGUGUUGGUGGAAAGCGUUAUGUAGUGGUUAUAGAUGGGCUCACGGCCUAUCAGCUUGUUGGUGAGGUAACGGCUCACCAAGGCGACGACGGGUAGCCGGCCUGAGAGGGUGACCGGCCACACUGGGACUGAGACACGGCCCAGACUCCUACGGGAGGCAGCAGUGGGGAAUAUUGCACAAUGGGCGCAAGCCUGAUGCAGCGACGCCGCGUGAGGGAUGACGGCCUACGGGUUGUAAACCUCUGUUAGCAGGGAAGAAGAGAAAUUGACGGUACCUGCAGAGAAAGCGCCGGCUAACUACGUG
rnacentral:rRNA from 1 species